CCAGAGGCAGGCAGCAGAGGAUAUUGUGCGAGACAGGACCAAACUGGCACACGUGCCUGUUCAGGUGUGGCACGGAUUUAUCCCUGAGUCCUUAUUUGGAGAUUGGUUCUCAUCCUUGGAAGGAUUCAAAACCCUCAUCAUAAGUAUUCUAAUAAUAAGAUGGGAUUUCUCCAUGUUGGCCAAGCUGGUCUCCAACUCCUGAGCUUGUGAUCCACCCACCUCAUCCUCCCAAAGGGCUGGGAUUAGAGGUGUGAGCCAUUGCACCCAGCCAGAUUAUUUGUUACUUGAUGGAGUUUUGCUCUUGUCACCCAGGCCGGCAUGCAGUGGUGCCAUCUUGGCUCACUGCGACCUCCACCUCCCAGGUUCAAGAGAUUCUCCUGCCUCAGCCUCCGAGUAGUUGGAAUUACAGGCAUGUGCCACCACGCCCAGAUAGAGAUCUCUCUAGCUAACUUUACUGGAUCUAUCAGAAGAAGAGGAGUGAAGGAAAGAUACCCAGCCACACAAAAGCACUUCAUGAUGGCAGCAGCGUGAUUGCCUGGAAGUUCCUAUAUAAACAAGGAGCAUUUGAAGGCAUCUGGGAUGGUUUACUAGUUUCACAGAAUUUUAUUCUUCUUGGUUUCUCUUGAGAGGGAAAAUAACAUAAAUUCAAAAGGAUUCCAAUCUGAAGCCCAAAUUAUUGGCCUACAUAACAAAAAUAUCUUUUCCUGCACAUUAUUAUUCUCUUAUGGGUUAAAAGGAAAAAAACUUUUAGUGUCUUAGAAUUUUUUCAUGAUAAAAAGUGCAAGAAUUUAAGAUGCUCCUUUUAUACUCCUAUAAUUCUCCCUAAGUAUUAACUUUGUAUAUGUUUCAGUAAUUUUCUAAAAACUGCUCAAUCUGAAAUUAAUUUCGUUGACCAUUUGGCUAUGUACAAUAAGGAGAAAAUGAUUGAUUCAUUGAUUAUAUAGAGAGAAAGACUAAUAAAAGCCAUUAAUUGC